AUGAUCCAGAGUACCACGGGACACGUGAAACCCUGUGGGAAGCAGGAGGGACCACCCUCCAAGGCUAAAUACUACCUAGUGACCGAUAGCGUAUAGUACCGUGAGGGAAAGGUGAAAAGAACCCCGGGAGGGGAGUGAAAUAGAACCUGAAACCCUGCACUUACAAGCUGUGGAAGCACAUUUCUUGUGUGACCGCGUACUUUUUGUAGAACGGGCCAACGAGUUACGUUAAGUAGCAAGGUUAAGCACUUAAGGUGUGGAGCCGUAGCGAAAGCGAGUUUUAACUGAGCGUUCAGUUACUUGACGUAGACCCGAAACCGGGCGACCUACCCAUGAGCAGGAUGAAGCGAAAGUAAAAUUUCGUGGAGGUCCGAACCCACGAGCGUUGAAAAGCUCGGGGAUGACUUGUGGGUAGCGGUGAAAUUCCAAUCGAGCCCGGAGAUAGCUGGUUCUCCCCGAAAUAGCUUUAGGGCUAGCCUCAAGGUGAGAGAUACGGAGGUAGAGCACUGAAUGUCCUAGGGGGUAUUGCACCUACCGAAGACUAUCAAACUCCGAAUGCCGUCAUCUUAUACUUGGGAGUCAGACUGUGGGUGAUAAGAUUCAUAGUCGAAAGGGCAACAGCCCAGAUCGUCAGCUAAGGUCCCUAAAUGUAAGUUAAGUGGUAAAGGAUGUGGGAUUGCACAGACAACCAGGAUGUUGGCUUAGAAGCAGCCACUCAUUCAAAGAGUGCGUAAUAGCUCACUGGUCGAGUGAUCCUGCGCCGAAGAUUUCCGGGGCUAAAACUUACUACCGAAGCUACGGCAUCAGUAAUGAUGGGUAGGGGAGCUUCCCAUACGGGUUGAAGCAUGACCGUAAGGACAUGUGGACAGUAUGGGAGUGAGAAUGUUGGCAUGAGUAGCGAGAUGUGGGUGAGAAUCCCACAGGCCGUAAACCCAAGGUUUCCAGGGGAAGGUUCGUCCGCCCUGGGUUAGUCGGGACCUAAGCUGAGGCCGAAAGGCGUAGGUGAUGGACAACAGGUUGAUAUUCCUGUACUACCGAUAACCGUUUGAGAGAAGGGAUGACACAGUAGGAUAAGCUAAGCACACUGUUGGUUAUGUGUGCCCAAGCAUUGAGGCAGUCAAAGUAGGCAAAUCCGCUUUGAUAAUGCUGGGAUGUGAUGGGGAGCGAAAUUUAGUAGCGAAGUAGCUGAUUUCACACUGUCAAGAAAAGUCUCUAUCGAGGUUAAAGGUACCCGUACCGCAAACCGACACAGGUGGGUGAGGAGAGUAUCCUAAGGCCAGCGAGAGAACUGUUGUUAAGGAACUCGGCAAAAUGACCCCGUAACUUAGGGAUAAGGGGUGCCACCAUCAGGUGGCCGCAGAGAAUAGGCCCAAGCGACUGUUUACCAAAAACAUAGGUUUCUGCUAAGUCGCAAGACGAUGUAUAGGAGCUGACGCCUGCCCGGUGCUGGAAGGUUAAGGGGAUCUGUUAGAGCAAUCGAAGCAGUGAACUUAAGCCCCAGUAAACGGCGGCCGUAACUAUAACGGUCCUAAGGUAGCGAAAUUCCUUGUCGGGUAAGUUCCGACCCGCACGAAAGGCGUAACGAUUUGGGCACUGUCUCAACAACAGACUCGGUGAAAUUGUAAUUCCGGUGAAGAUGCCGGAUACCUGCGACAGGACGGAAAGACCCCAUGGAGCUUUACUGUAGCUUGACAUUGGGUCUUGGUACUACAUGUACAGGAUAGG
rnacentral:rRNA from 1 species